rnacentral:lncRNA from 1 species
AUGAUCCUCCUGUUCUCUUGGAUCUUCGCCACAGGUUUUUUCUUUUAUGCCAAACAAAAUGGUCUCUUCAUUGUUGAAAGGGCUGGUAAAUGCCAAGAGAAUUCUCCUGCUGUAAAUGACAUUUUUGCUCUACCACUUCUUUUCAUCCAACUGAGUGAGCUCCAGCUACGUCCGUGGAAACGACGGCAGACUUUAUUUUUGGGGGCUCCAAAAUCACUGCAGAUGGUGACUGCAGCUAUGAAAUUAAAAGACACUUGCUCCUUGGAAGAAAAGUUAUGACCAACCUAGACAGUGUAUUAAAAAGCAGAGACAUUACUUUGCCAACAAAGGUCCGUCUAGUCAAGGCUAUGGUUUUUUCAGUGGUCAUGUAUGGAUGUGAGAGUUAGACUGUGAAUAAAGCUGAGUGCCGAAAAAUUGAUGCUUUUGAA